GACAGAGGAUGCAAGCGUUAUCCGGAAUGAUUGGGCGUAAAGCGUCUGUAGGUGGCUUUUAAGUCCGCCGUCAAUCCCAGGCUCAACCCUGGACAGGCGGUGGAAACUACCAAGCUGGAGUACGGUAGGGCAGAGGGAAUUUCCGGUGGAGCGGUGAAAUGCGUAGAGAUCGGAAAAGAACACCAAACGGCGAAAGCACUCUGCUGGGCCGACACUGACCACUGAGAGACGAAAGCUAGGGGAGCGAAUGGGAUAGAAACCCGUG
rnacentral:rRNA from 1 species